rnacentral:misc_RNA from 1 species
GCUGCUUCCAUUGCAAGCGAGUGCGGCAUUAGUCUCUCACGUAUACUGUCUCCAAAUAUCACAUCCGAAUAAUGUAGCGCGCAAUUUACAAUUUGAAUAUUUAGUGUUUUCCCUUAUUUAUAUGUACCGGGCCACAAAGUGCCCAAGCUAAACCCGUUCAGUGCUUAAUUGUCAAAUGUAAUAAGCUCUACCAGUAGUCCUCCUCCUCUAAAAC